UUGCUUGCUUUGGCAGCACAUACACUGAAACUGGAAUGAUACAGAGAAGAUGAGCAUGGCCUCUGCACAAGGGUGACACACAAAUUCAUGAUCCAUUCCGUAUUAAA
ensembl:snRNA U6 U6 spliceosomal RNA